rnacentral:rRNA from 1 species
AACGAACGCUGGCGGCAUGCCUAACACAUGCAAGUCGAACGAGACCUUCGGGUCUAGUGGCGCACGGGUGCGUAACGCGUGGGAACCUGCCCCUAGGUUCGGAAUAACUCCCCGAAAGGGGUGCUAAUACCAGAUAAUGUCUUCGGACCAAAGAUUUAUCGCCUUUGGAUGGGCCCGCGUUGGAUUAGCUAGUUGGUAGGGUAAAAGCCUACCAAGGCGACGAUCCAUAGCUGGUCUGAGAGGAUGAUCAGCCACACUGGGACUGAGACACGGCCCAGACUCCUACGGGAGGCAGCAGUGGGGAAUAUUGGACAAUGGGCGAAAGCCUGAUCCAGCAAUGCCGCGUGAGUGAUGAAGGCCUUAGGGUUGUAAAGCUCUUUUACCCGGGAUGAUAAUGACAGUACCGGGAGAAUAAGCUCCGGCUAACUCCGUG